GGUGAGUGGUAAAGCACAGGACUGGCACUCCUGAGGCCCCAGGUUUGAGCCCUGG
rnacentral:tRNA from 1 species